UCGAGGCAAAUCAUGUCCCCACUUUUUUAAUGCGCAUGCGCGACCCUCUGGCAAGUGUCAUGCACAUUUUUUAUCAGGAAAAAGAUAGGGAAAUGCAAAAUUUUGGCAGUAAAACGGCGAUUUUAAGCGCAGUAACCGAUUAAUCUUCAUUUUCUGCACGAAUUUUGCAAAUAAAUGGCACACUGCGUCUUCUUAGCAAAAGGGAAUUGAACGAGUACCAUUUUUAACGUCGAAAAUGAGAAAAACACCCGAAGGAGUGAGAAUUUCUGGCAAUCUGAAGAUUCGAUUCUGUAGACCUGAACUCCAGCUGGAACUUGGCAACUUUAUAUGUGAGUUUUUUUUCUCUAGCUCAUAUAUAUCAAAUUAUCAUUAUAUUUUUGUCAAGUGCAAUGUUGUAUACUUGUAUCAAAGCGUUGUCGUUAAUUUAAACAUUGCAUAAACAGCAUUCAGAUACGAAAAUGAACAUCAAUAUUUAACAUGGACUGAUGGAGUCAUGGACAUGGAGCCACAGUACUUUAAAGUACUCAUAUAGACUUUAUUUAACUUAUAUGUUGACCCAAUGGUGGGGGAUUGGUCAAAUUAUACUUUAUAGUGAUUCCCCUACUCCCUAGAUUAAUAGUGCAUUGGUUAUUCACAGUGCAAUUACAACCUUUUUUGGCUCUCAAAGGUCAAUUUCUCAGACAUGCCAAGUCACUGUACAUGUUUAAUAAUCUAAUCUGUUUAUUUAUUUUAUUUUUUAUUUUGCUUUUCUAGAUUGCCAAUCAUUCCUGUUGAACUACAUUAUUCAUACAAUGAAUCAGAUGCAGAAUCUUACAACUAUGUUAAUUUGUUCACCUGAUUGGGGAAAACCUGAGUCUAUUUGAUCUAUAUAUUGGAAUGCCUACCAAUUUUACAUAGCCUCAGGCAAACGUUUAUAUAAUUAAUCUUGAGUAAUAGAGAUGUUGUACCCCCUGACGGAGUGACCCUACUACCUGGAUCAUCCCACUAGGCAAGACAAGUUCAAAACUUUCCAUGCAAACACUUGCAUGGCAGUUGCUAUAAUAGGAUAUGAAUAUAAUUUUGCCUUGCCAAGGUGGCUGGGAUUUCCCUAGUACCCGGAGACCAUAUAAACAGGCCUUCAGAUUACUGUAAUAGUUUAAUUGCCCCCCCCCCCCAAUGCAAUUAAAAGUGGUAGGCCUACUCCUCAAAUCCAGCCCCCCUUUGAAGAUGUGCUGUAAAGGUAGACAAUUUUACUUGUUAACCCAUUAAGUCGCAUUGCGCAUUUGCGCCCAACUUUAUUAUUUUACUCUAACACCAGACGAUCCAGUUAAUUUAAUUAACCCAUUGAGGUGCAUUGUGCCCUGAUGCACCCUACUUUAUUAUUUUACUCUGUCUUACUUGUCAAGAGGAGAGCACACUUUAACAGGGAAAGGAUUAAUUGAGAAUAUUUUCUCUUCUAAUGGGAAAACUCUUUAUCAUAAUAAAAGGAACAAAUGAAUGCAAUUAUUCAUAGUAUUUAACUUUUCAUAUAAAGCAAAGAUUGUAAGAGGAAACAUGGAUCAUUGGCUACUUUUUUUUAGUAUUAAUUUUCAUUAUAGCAUGUGGGGUUAACUAUAAAGGAAACAGUUAUUGCCUAUUUUGGAAUAAAAAAUUUAGAAUAUUCAUUGACAUUGAAC
rnacentral:lncRNA from 1 species